CUGGACAUCAUUGCAGGAGGAAGAUUCACUUCUCAUGGAGAUGACUACUGCAGUCUCCCCAGACUGCGUGAGGUCUCUGCUAGGGUCAUGCUCCUGACAUUUUGCAGCAGUUACCUGAUCGGUGCUUUUCUUAGAGAGUCAUACAGAAGACUAUGCUGCUUCACUGCAAAGGAGACCUGAUGGACUAUGCUAAAGACAAGACAAAUAGGUACAUAAUCAACUGCACCAAGAUGGGGUACUGUGCAGGCAUCAGGUAGCGGAUGGU